UACGUAGGGCGCAAGCGUUGUCCGGAAUUAUUGGGCGUAAAGAGCUCGUAGGCGGCUUGUCACGUCGGGUGUGAAAGCCCGGGGCUUAACCCCGGGUCUGCAUUCGAUACGGGCUAGCUAGAGUGUGGUAGGGGAGAUCGGAAUUCCUGGUGUAGCGGUGAAAUGCGCAGAUAUCGGGAAGAACACCCGUGGCUAAGGCGGCUCUCUAGUACGGUACUGACGCUGAGACGCGAAAGCGUGGGGAGCGAACAGG
rnacentral:rRNA from 1 species